UACGGGGGGGGCAAGCGUUGUUCGGAAUUACUGGGCGUAAAGGGCUCGUAGGUGGCCAACUAAGUCAGACGUGAAAUCCCUCGGCUUAACCGGGGAACUGCGUCUGAUACUGGAUGGCUGGAGUAUGGGAGAGGAAUGCGGAAUUCCAGGUGUAGCGGUGAAAUGCGUAGAUAUCUGGAGGAACACCGGUGGCGAAGGCGGCAUUCUGGACAGUGACUGACGCUGAGACGCGAAAGCGUGGGGAGCAAACAGG
rnacentral:rRNA from 1 species